UACGUAGGGGGCAAGCGUUGUCCGGAUUUAUUGGGCGUAAAGAGCGUGUAGGCGGCCUGACAGGUCUGCUGUGAAAACUCGAGGCUCAACCUCGAGAUGUCGGCGGAAACCGUCUGGCUAGAGUCCGGAAGAGGAGAGUGGAAUUCCUGGUGUAGCGGUGAAAUGCGCAGAUAUCAGGAGGAACACCGAUGGCGAAGGCAGGUCUCUGGGCAUUAACUGACGCUGAGGAGCGAAAGCAUGGGGAGCGAACAGG
rnacentral:rRNA from 1 species